rnacentral:misc_RNA from 1 species
GAUGAAGAACGCAGCGAAAUGCGAUAAGUAAUGUGAAUUGCAGAAUUCAGUGAAUCAUCGGAUCUUUGAACGCACAUUGCGCCCGCCAGUAUUCUGGCGGGCAUGCCUGUUCGAGCGUCAUUUCAACCAUCAAGCCCCCGGCUUGUGUUGGGGACCUGCGGCUGCCGCAGGCCCUGAAAACCAGUGGCGGGCUCGCUAGUCACUCCGAGCGUAGUAGUUACAUCUCGCUCAGGGCGUGCUGCGGGUUCCGGCCGUUAAAAGCCUUAUUUACCCAAGGUUGACCUCGGAUCAGGUAGGAAGACCCGCUGAACUUAAGCAUAUCAAUAAGCGGAGGA